CCUACGGGUGGCAGCAGUGAGGAAUAUUGGUCAAUGGGCGCGAGCCUGACCCAGCCAAGUCGCGUGAGGGAUGAAGGUUCUAUGGAUCGUAAACCUCUUUUAUAAGGGAAUAAAGUGUGGGACGUGUCGUCUUUUGUAUGUACCUUAUGAAUAAGGAUCGGAUAACUCCGUUCCAGCAGCCGCGGUAAUACGGAGGAUCCGAGCGUUAUCCGGAUUUAUUGGGUUUAACGGGUGCGUAGGCGGCCUUUUAAGUCAGCGGUGAAAGUCAGUGGCUCAACCAUAGAAUUGCAGUUGAAACUGGGGGGCUUGAGUAUGUUAGAGGCAGGCAGAAGGCGUGGUGUAGCGGUGAAAUGCUUAGAGAUCACGCAGAACCCCGAUUGCGAAGGCAGCCUGCCAAGCCAUGACUGACGCUGAUGCACGAAAGCGUGGGGAUCAAACAGGAUUAGAUACCCUGGUAGUC
rnacentral:rRNA from 1 species